rnacentral:rRNA from 1 species
GUAGGUGGCAAGCGUUGUCCGGAAUUAUUGGGCGUAAAGCGCGCGCAGGCGGUUCUUUAAGUCUGAUGUGAAAGCCCACGGCUCAACCGUGGAGGGUCAUUGGAAACUGGAGAACUUGAGUACAGAAGAGGAAAGCGGAAUUCCACGUGUAGCGGUGAAAUGCGUAGAGAUGUGGAGGAACACCAGUGGCGAAGGCGGCUUUCUGGUCUGUAACUGACGCUGAGGCGCGAAAGCGUGGGGAGCAAACAGGAUUAGAUACCCUGGUAGUCCACGCCGUAAACGAUGAGUGCUAAGUGUUAGGGGGGUUUCCGCCCCCCUUAGUGCUGCAGCUAACGCAUUAAGCACUCCGCCUGGGAGUACGGCCGCAGGGCUG